UAGGGAAUUUUCCACAAUGGGCGAAAGCCUGAUGGAGCAACACCGCGUGCAGGAUGAAGGCCUUCGGGUCGUAAACUGCUUUUAUGUGAGAAGAUUAUGACGGUAACACAUGAAUAAGGGUCGGCUAACUACGUGCCAGCAGCCGCGGUCAUACGUAGGACCCAAGCGUUAUCCGGAAUUACUGGGCGUAAAGAGUUGCGUAGGUGGCAUGUUAAGCGGAGUGUGAAAUCGUGUGGCUCAACCAUACGGCUAUGCUCUGAACUGACAAGCUUGAGUAUGGAAGAGGUAGCUGGAAUUACUAGUGUAGGAGUGAAAUCCGUAGAUAUUAGUAGGAACACCGAUGGCGUAGGCAGGCUACUGGUCCAUUACUGACACUAAGGCACGAAAGCGUGGGGAGCAAACGGG
rnacentral:rRNA from 1 species